GAUGAACGCUGGCGGCGUGCCUAAUACAUGCAAGUCGAGCGAACAGACGAGGAGCUUGCUCCUUUGACGUUAGCGGCGGACGGGUGAGUAACACGUAGGUAACCUACCUAUAAGACUGGGAUAACUUCGGGAAACCGGAGCUAAUACCGGAUAAUAUUUCGAACCGCAUGGUUCGAUAGUGAAAGAUGGCUUUGCUAUCACUUAUAGAUGGACCUGCGCCGUAUUAGCUAGUUGGUAAGGUAACGGCUUACCAAGGCAACGAUACGUAGCCGACCUGAGAGGGUGAUCGGCCACACUGGAACUGAGACACGGUCCAGACUCCUACGGGAGGCAGCAGUAGGGAAUCUUCCGCAAUGGGCGAAAGCCUGACGGAGCAACGCCGCGUGAGUGAUGAAGGUCUUCGGAUCGUAAAACUCUGUUAUUAGGGAAGAACAAACGUGUAAGUAACUGUGCACGUCUUGACGGUACCGAAUCAGAAAGCCACGGCUAACUACGU
rnacentral:rRNA from 1 species